UACGAAGGGGGCUAGCGUUGUUCGGAAUUACUGGGCGUAAAGCGCGCGUAGGCGGCGAUCCAUGUCAGGGGUGAAAUCCCGGGGCUCAACUCCGGAAUUGCCUUUGAAACGGGAUUGCUAGAGUCCGAGAGAGGAUGGCGGAAUUCCUAGUGUAGAGGUGAAAUUCGUAGAUAUUAGGAAGAACACCGGUGGCGAAGGCGGCCAUCUGGCUCGGUACUGACGCUCAGGCGCGAAAGCGUGGGGAGCAAACAGG
rnacentral:rRNA from 1 species